CGAGAGGAACCGCGGUUUCAGAUAAUUGGUUUUUGCGGCUGUCUGACCAGGCAUUGCCGCGAAGCUACCAUCUGCUGGAUAAUGGCUGAACGCCUCUAAGUCAGAAUCCAUGCCAGAACGGGGUGAUUUCCGCCUGCACCAGUCGGAUACGAAUA
rnacentral:rRNA from 1 species